AAAAGACUUAGUCCUAACCUUACCAUUAGCUAUCAUCAGACAUAUACAUGCAAGUAUCCGCGCUCCAGUGUAAACGCCCUCACUCAUUAGCCUCGCCCAGGCAAGAGGAGCAGGUAUCAGGCUCACCUACCGUAGCCCAAAACACCUAGCCCAGCCACACCCCCACGGGUAUUCAGCAGUAAUUAACAUUAAGCAAUAAGUGUAAGCUUGACUUAGUCACAAUGAUUCUAGGGCCGGUAAAUCUUGUGCCAGCCACCGCGGUCAUACAAGAGGCCCAAGUUAAUGGUAUUCGGCGUAAAGCGUGGAAACAUGUUAUCCAAAAAACUAGGACCAAAAUGCACCCAAGCUGUCAUAUGCCUAAGAUGCACCAAAACCCCACAUAAAAACGGCCCUAGUACUAAAGACUAAUUAUAUACCACGAAAGCCAAGGAACAAACUGGGAUUAGAUACCCCACUAUGCUUGGCCCUAAAUCUAGAUGCUUAACCCACCAAAGCAUUCGCCCGAGAACUACGAGCAUAAACGCUUAAAACUCUAAGGACUUGGCGGUGCCCUAAACCCACCUAGAGGAGCCUGUUCUAUAAUCGAUACCCCACGAUUCACCCAACCAUCCCUUGCUCUAAACAGCCUACAUACCGCCGUCGGCAGCUCGCCUACUGAAAGAAAAACAGCGAACAUAAUAGUCUCCCACUAACAAGACAGGUCAAGGUAUAGCCCAUGGGAUGGAAGAAAUGGGCUACAUUUUCUAAUAUAGACCACAUCCUUCACACUUCAACGGAAAAGGGAAUGAAACACCCUUAGAAGGCGGAUUUAGUAGUAAAGUGGGAUCAGAAUGCCCACUUUAAACUGGCUCUAGGGCACGUACAUACCGCCCGUCACCCUCCUCAUAAGCAACUAACCUAAUACAUAAUACCCCCCCCCCAGCUAAAGAUGAGGUAAGUCGUAACAAGGUAAGUGUACCGGAAGGUGUACUUAGCAUAUC
rnacentral:ncRNA from 1 species